CCAAAAAAGUAUGUAUCCGUUUUAUCCCUUUGAAACGAGCCUUGCCCAUUGACCUUCUGCUUUCACACGGUGCCAGUGUGCUGUGCGCUUCUCACCAGUGUGCCUUCUCUGUUUUCUCCCAGUUACAACAGCACCUCAAAAAUAUUUAGGUAAGUAUACCUUCCUUGUUUUCCAACAAUGUGGUCUUUUAUUAUUUUUAAGUUAAUAUUGAAGAAUGACCCAAUUUAUUUUUUUAUUUUAGUGUAGACCAGGCUGGCCUCGAACUCAGAAAUCCACCUGCCUCUGCUUCCCGAGUGCUGGGAUUAAAGGCGUGCGCCACCAUGCCCGGCAUUAACAGAGUUUUUUAGGCUCUUGGAAGUCUGUUAUUGGAAGACUUGGGAAUAAAAAAAUGUAGCAGGCCUUAGUGGUUGGGGUCUUGCUGCGGUCACGCCCGUGUAUAGUGCAGCUCUAAGUGUAGCUUAAC
rnacentral:lncRNA from 1 species